GGGCCCGCACAAGCGGUGGAGCAUGUGGUUUAAUUCGAUGAUACGCGAGGAACCUUACCAGGGCUUAAAUGUAAGUUGCAUGGAUCAGAGAUGGUCCUUUCUUCGGACUACUUACAAGGUGCUGCAUGGUUGUCGUCAGCUCGUGCCGUGAGGUGUCAGGUUAAGUCCUAUAACGAGCGCAACCCCUGUCGUUAGUUGCCAUCAAGUAAAGUUGGGUACUCUAGCGAGACUGCCGGUGCAAACCGUGAGGAAGGUGGGGAUGACGUCAAAUCAUCACGGCCCUUACGUCCUGGGCUACACACGUGCUACAAUGGCCGGUACAGAGAGCAGCCACCACGCGAGUGGGAGCGAAUCUAUAAAACCGGUCUCAGUUCGGAUCGCAGUCUGCAACUCGACUGCGUGAAGCUGGAAUCGCUAGUAA
rnacentral:rRNA from 1 species